rnacentral:rRNA from 1 species
UUUCCUACGGGGGGCAGCAGUGAGGAAUAUUGGUCAAUGGGCGCAAGCCUGAACCAGCCAAGUCGCGUGAGGGAUGACGGUCCUAUGGAUUGUAAACCUCUUUUGUCGGGGAGCAAGGCCCGCCACGUGUGGCGGGAAGGAGAGUACCCGAAGAAAAAGCAUCGGCUAACUCCGUGCCAGCAGCCGCGGUAAUACGGAGGAUGCGAGCGUUAUCCGGAUUUAUUGGGUUUAAAGGGUGCGUAGGCGGUCCGUUAAGUCAGCGGUAAAAUUGCGGGGCUCCACCCUGUC